rnacentral:rRNA from 1 species
AGUGAACGCUGGCGGCAUGCCUAAUACAUGCAAGUCGAACGAAGAGGCGCACGGGUGUGUAAUAUAUAGUUAAUCUGCCCUACACAGAGGAACAACAGUUGGAAACGACUGCUAAUACCUCAUAGUGUAGGAUGAGACUAUAUCGUAUCAGCUAGUUGGUAAGGUAAUGGUUUACCAAGGCUAUGACGCGUAACUGGUCUGAGAGGAUGAUCAGUCACAGUGGACGUGAGACACGGUCCAAACACCUACGGGAGUGAGCAGGAAGGUAUAUUGCGCAACGGGGGAAACCCGGACGCAGCAACGCCGCGUGGAGGAUGACACUUUGCGAAGCGUAAACGCCUUUUAUCAGGAAAGCGGUACCUGAUGAAUAAGCACCGGCUAACUCCGUGCCAGCAGCCGCGGUAAUAC